AUCCAGCUGACGAGUCCCAAAUAGGACGAAACGCCCGUCAAACUGGAU
rfam:Schistosoma margrebowiei strain Zambia genome assembly, scaffold: SMRZ_scaffold0000052